rnacentral:lncRNA from 1 species
UUAACAACUAAGCCAAUCCUUUCUUGAUAAGUAAAAGGGGCUAGGUGUGUGGGGGAAAGGAUCACCCAACACUAAAAGCUCACAUACCUUGAUAGGGAUCACCCCCGACGAAAAUCCACGAUGAUCUUGACGGAACUUGCUUGAUCUUCCUCUUUUCUUCCCCUUCUUCUUCUCCUUCUCCUUCUUCUCUUCUUCCUCUCUUCUUCCUCUCUUCUUCACUCUCAAAGCCCUAGCCUUCACUCUCUUAAAAUGGAUAAAUGAUCCAAAUAUCAGCCUAACACAACAAUAUAUCUUCAAAAGAAAUAGCUAGGGAAAAGACCAAAAUGCCCUUAAUGAUUCCCG